ACAGUUUCUUUUAGAAGUGCCACCCACUAAUAUUACAACUAUUAACCCAUCUGAGCGUAAUAUUAAUGAAUUUAUUCUCUGUUCAUUUCAGUUCUGCUGCUGAAACACAUAUAUGAAGAGUUUCUUCAUGCACUUUAUGUGCACUUGUCCUGGGAAAUUGUGCUGGAAUUAGAAGGGAGCCUCCUGUGCACAUUUUCUUUGAUUAUAUUGAUCUAGAAAGUUCUUCAGUAAGCCUGGCUGAGUGAAACAUAAAGUCUGUCAAGACUUCUGGCUGAACAGUUUUAAGCUGUCUACUUCCUGAAAGCAAUACUGGAAUCAGAAGCCCUGCUGUGAUGGUGCAGUCUACUGGGUCACUUCUGUCUGGGUUGCAUGCUAAUCAACUCAACCUGAAAUGCUGAUGGUGUUAAAGUAUUCUGUACC
rnacentral:lncRNA from 1 species